UGUGGAGGGGGGGUAAAACUUUAUUCCCCAAUGACAACUUGGUUGUCUACAUAGAAAACAAGGAAUUUUACAAAACAACUAGAAAUGUUGACAGCAAGGUUACAGGAUGUAACCAAAAUCCAUUAUAUUCUAUAGAGUAGUGUUAAGUUGGAAAUUUAAAUUUUCUUAAAUGUAUGAAAUAUUUAGGGAUAAUUUAACAAAAUAUGGGCAAAACCCGGGCACUGAAAACAGCAAAACAUUGCUGAGACAAGUUAAAAAUUGUUGACAGAGAUGUAGGUAGCUUGGAGGCCUGUGAACGCACCUGUCCAAGGGAGUGCGCUGCCUGCCAGACUUGGCCUCACUCCUGGAGCAGAGCGGUGGGGAGCAGUACAGCCUGGCUGGAGGUGCUGACUGUUCUGGCGGUGGCAUUAGGAUGGGCACAAUCCAGAAGGCGGCAGAGGCUUUGCAGUCUGGGUGGCUCUGGGGAGCAGCUCAGCAGGGAAAAUGAAGGCAGGCUCUGGCUUUGUUCCUAGGGCUGACCUCGCUCUCUGUGGAGGUUGGGUAGGUUGCAGCCUCUGUCCUGGCUGCUUGGAAGCCCAGGCAGCACGGGACCGCCCCUGGAGCUGGCAGGGCCGUGCACUCCCUGGCCAGUUCUAUGGUCCCCCGCCUCCUGCAUUGCAGCAUCCAGCUGGCUUCCACCCUCCUCAAAGCAGCCUGAGCAGGGGUAGGCAGGAGCAAGGGAGCUGCCUGAGCAGAGGGGAGGGGCAGUGCAGGGUGGGGCCUGGGUAUGGGUGAGUGGAGGUUGCAGGGAGCUCUCUCUACCUGAGACAGGACCUACCUGGAGCUCCGCUCGACCGCACACCGCAGCGGCCUGCCUGCUGGUGGUUCUGGUGUGCCCUCCAUCACAGGCUCUCCACGUUCCUCCCAGAGUUGAGGAGCCCAGCCCAGCCUGAGGCUGUGGAGAAGGGGAGCUGGCGUCAGCGAGCCAGACAUCAGGGUGCUGGUAACACCUGGUCUGACCAUCCCAACUGGGAACUGGGUGCUCCCGCAGGGCGGCCUCUGUCCUUCUCCUCUGAGUGCUGGCAGAGAACGCAGGUGCGGGUGGACAGUAGAUGUGGACCGUAGGACCCCCUCGCCACUGACUUCCCCCGUCUGGAGGGACCCUCAUUGUUGGGAGCAAGAGCAGGGUGAGAUGCAUCUGGGAGCAAGGUCUAGGUACCCACUUUCUUCCUGCCAAGCCCUGUGAGCUCUGUCCCCAGCCCUGCUCUGCACCUGCUGGGUGCAGGGCCAGGAGAAAGCAUGCAGGGGCAGAGGAAGAGGGGAGCCCAUUUGUCCCCCAAGGCUCUGCCAGGAGCUGCUCCAGCACCUGAAAACUGGUCCUCACUCCACUUCACUCCAGAGGCCCUGUCCAGCCUCUCUGCACACCUCCCUCCACAUUUCCUGCAUCGAGGCCUCCUGUCCAAGAGAGACCCUUCACCGUCUCCAGUACCAGUAGUGCUUGAGCCCACAGCAGCAUCUCUCUUACAGUCUAGGGUGUGGGGCGCGGGGGAAGGGAUGAGUGAUGGGAAGCCAUGUUCAGAGAGACUCCAAGAGCCCAGCACCAGUGAUGGCUGCAGCAGGCUGGCCAGACCCUGAGGGUAAACCCUGAGGGAUAGGUGGUAAGUAGUGGGAUCACUGGACAGACCCUACAGAGGAGGGAAUCACAGCAUAAUUAAAGCUGGUCAUUCCCAGGAUGCUGGAAUAGCAGAAUGGGAGUCCAGAAAGAUUUGGAUAUGGUGGGUCUGAUCAUUUGCAGACCGAUACCUGAUCCACACAGGGGAGAGGAUGCAGGGAAAUUGACUUCCCAGAGAGGUGGUCAAGGAGGGUGUGGUCGCAAAGGGCUUGGUGGGGGCAUCAGAGCAAGACAACUGGAAGUGUUGGGGCUCCUAGCACAAUACCUGAGUCAGGUUCAACACUUUCUGCAGAUGAAAGGAGAGGUGGCCAGGAGCUGGUUCACUGGGGACCCCCAACACAUCCCCCAGGAGAACCGUGCAGGCAAGAGGCCGAGGGUGAAGACAGUUGAAAACACUCAGAGCCCACCUCAGACCAGGGCGAGGCAGAGAGGGGGCCAAAAACAGAACCUGGGCCAUGGUGGGCAUCUGAGGAAUGUUUCUGAGAUGAAUUACGAUGAGUGAGUUACUAAAUCUCUUUAAGAAAUGAGGAAAAUGAAAGCCCUCAGCACACUGAGCUCUCCCCCACCUUCUGGUCUUGCUGAGGUCCCCCAUGGUUGGCUCAUGGUCACCACGUCCAUGGGCAGAGGCUGCCGUGGUCUUCCUUCCCAGCCUGAGCUGUGAGGCGCCCCACCUGUGUUUAAAGAGAGAGGCAUGCAGUGGGGGCUCUCAGCAAUUCCUAAGAGUCCCCAGGAAUUCUGGUCCCUGGCUUCUUGCUACACCAUGAGGCCAGACACUUGGUUGAGGACUGGAUGGAGUGAGAAUGUGCCGCUGCCUAUAGGUCUCUGUCCACCUGUCUGCUUAAGCCCCUACAGCCACUGGAUGUGGCACUGGGAGGGACAAGGCACAACCACAAAAGGAAACCCAAAUAAAAAUCUAGGAUCUCCCUAAACUCUGAACACCAAGCCUGUGAUGGAAAUGAGUGUUAAGGACAUACAGACAGGAAGCUUUCAGGAUCUUUAGAUGUAGGGGCUGGCCAGAGAAAAACUCUGGGCACAGGAGCAGUACAGCAGGAAAACUGCCAUGGAUGCCAAGGUGCAGAGGUGCACACCUGUGGAGGUCAAGGGGGCCCCCUCCUCUGCUUCCCCCUCUUCAGGGCCUUGCUCAGGCUCCCCUGUGUCAUCAUACUCCUCCUCCAGCACCAGGGCCCUGGACACUCUGGGCACCUCCUCCUCCACCCCCAUGGGGACAGCUCCAGUGUCCUCAUAAACACCUUCCAAGGGCAGAUUCCCCAACAUUCCAGAACCUGCAAAGGCCACACCAAAACCUUUUAAGCAGAGACAUUCCCCACAGUUUAAGCCCAUCUGUGGGGUGUCUCAUGCACACCAGGACCCUCUGGAACCCCACCAGGUGGGAGAGUUCCCCAGAUACACAUUCGACAGAGGGGUCAGGACACCCUUGGAGCCUUGUUCUCCCACCCAGGCAGCCCCAGGACUACAGCUCUUCUCACCCAGCCUCUCAGAAGCAGAGAAGGGCCCAGGUACCCUGUUACCAACAACCCAUGGGUCCACUUUUAGGAAGUCACCACAAGGGGAAAGGGUGGAAUUCUGAGUGGGACCCAGCACACAGGACAGCUGGGGACCUGCAUUGGUCUGGGUCUCAGAGCACCUCCCCUCCCCUCCAGAGCUUCCCCAUUCCCAGGGCCUGAUAUUAACCUUGACCAACAUGCCCACCUACCCCUGCAAGGUCUUGGGCCCUGGAGCCACUGUGCCCCCAGGACCAGUGAGAUGACAACCAGGAGGGUGCUGAAGACCAGGCAGAAAGUCAUAGGCAGAGUCCCGGCCUUGAGGGCAGGUAGAAGGGCCAGAGGAGGGCCUGUAAGAACAGUGAGAAGUGGGGUCCUCCCUACAUGCCUGCACUGCCUGCGUAUUGUGACCUUGGACCUGAACCACCUGAGCCUCUAAGGAGGAGGAGGGGCACCCAGGGGAGAGAUGGGCCUUGUGCUGCCCGGAGGGCACAGGGUUAAAGUCAGGAGUGUCCAGAAAGGCAACUCUUAGAGUCCUGACUGCUUUGGACUCACAGUCAGUAUCUAAGAGGCUACAGUGCACCAGAGCCCAACUGCCCAGUCAGCAAGGGAAAGGCCCAGAAAAUUGGCUGGCAGAGCCUGGGCUUGCUGUCCCUCCCUAGGUUCUCCACCCAGCUUUGCACAGGGGGACCCUCAGGGAAGGGCGUCUCUGGCACCAUGGCCCUGGUCCUCCUGACCUCCACCCAUCAGCCAAGAUGAGGGCUGACUGAGGCAUGGUGUCCACAGGAGACUCUUAGGCACCUCUGGGUGAGGCAGGCAGCAAGCUCUGAGCAGAGCCUGAAGGAACACACACCUACCUGAUGCCGAAAACAGGACUGUGGUCCCCCAGGAGAAAUAGAUUCAUUGCAAGGGGUGUGGAAAGGCAGCCUAGACCUUCAUCCAGACUCUCAGCUUGAGAUGGAAGUCAUGGAGGCAGCCUGUGCUCUAGCAUCCAGAGGGACAAGUGCAGGGCAGCCUCAGGGCUGGGUUCUGGGGCAUCCAGGAUGGAGGGGUACUGCAAAGGAUCCCUCCUGGCACCCCUUCCCCAGCCCCAAGCACCCUCCCACCUACUACCGCCCCCCACCCACGGAGGGGAUGGGGGAGCUGCAGGCUCCCUCCUGCGUGAUUGUGCCCGCAGUCUCCGUCUCCCUAUGGCUCCACGGGGCAUCCCUACAGGGACGCCUCACUUCUCCGGCACCCCACCUCCUCCAGCCACAUGGGCUCAGAGCCUGGCCUGAAGGCGGCCCCCACAGGGCACCCACAGCCUGGCCACAGCGUAGCUGGCAGCACACAACCUCUACAUCCACCAGGUCGCAGGAGUUGUCGCACACGGUGCCCCUGGAGUCGAUGUGCCAGGGCUCCACACAGCUGGAGAAGCCGUCUUCCCCACCACGCAUGCGCAGCUCGCCCUCCUCCACAAAGGAGACUAUGGUCACCGCGCAUCAGGACCAGGAUGGGGCAUGGACAGGGAGGAAGUGAGAGGGGUACCUGGGCAACUGUUGGUGGAUGAGCAGUUGAAGGUCUUGUGUUUUCUCUGACAAUCCUAUUGAUUAAACAGUGACCCACCCAGGGUAAAUGCCCUGAAAAACUUCAGAAUGAAGCUUGUGGAGCCCAAGUGACCGCACAGCUCCAAGCCAUAGGUUGGUGGCAGCCUUCGCAAAUGACUUGUCAGAAUAGAAUCUGCCUCCAGGCCCCCCAGACACCUCCAGGGCUCACCUGCACAGGUAUCCAGACUAUCCAUGGACACAGGUAUGCAGGUGCCAUGGGGCUGAGGGGCACUGCCACAGUGUGAAGUUUCGAAGCCUGUGGCACUGGAUAUUGUCCACCCAGGAGAUGCCCAAGAUAGUGUGGACAGGUCUGUUGUCCAGCCAGCCCAGCUGCUUGCGGAUGAUGGAUAAGGACGUGUCUUUCAGGGCACUACUGCACACAGCUCCCCAAGCCCCAUUGUAGAACAUGUCCAGCUACCCAGCACAGUGGCCAGUGCCACCUCAAAGCCUCAGAGCCACUGACCCUGGAAGACAAGCAUACUCAGGCCAAGGAAAUCUCUGAAGGAGGAAGCCAAGAGGAGCUUCCAGCACAAAGACGGAUGCCACCCAAGGGCAUCUAACCCAGUGAGUCCUGGCAUCCACCUCACAUGGAUCCCACAGUCCCAUCAAUUUAAAGAUGGAAAAAGAUGAGAGCAGUUGACCACAGGUGACCAGAUUUAACCCCUAGUUGUAACGUCUUAGUCAGCAGGGAUCAGCUGAUUGCCCAGAAAUCUAUCCUUGGAAAUUGCUCAAAAUACAGAAUAAUCAUUUUGUACAAGAUGAUUAACUUAAAAGUGAUAAUAAAAAUUCAAAAAAUUAAAUUAAGAAACAAACGAGAAUUACCCCAGAUCUCUCAGUUUGUAGAUAGCAUUGGUCCUGGCUGGUCAGUGCCCAAGUAUUUGUCUUGGGCGGUGCAAGUCCAACAACAAUUUAAUGUAUCACCACAUGGUGGAGUAUCAGACACCCUUUAAAAUUAUGUUACAGGAGCCUGUAAUACAACAAAAAUGCACAUGUGGAAAUAAAUCACAGAAUAUGGAUAUGAAUUGCAUCUUACAAGAUUAUAACUAAUAAAAAUAAGCUUAGAAAAAAACAAUGGAAGGAAAUACGUCUGUGGUAGCUUACAAAAGUGGCCACUAAGACCUCCUGCCUGUAUCCAUACCCCAUGCAAUGAAUCAAUUUCCCACCCCUGAAUGUGGGCUUGCCUUAGAACCUCAGCCAACCAAAUUAAUGGGCUAAGGGUGACCAGUGCCAAUUCCACACCUGGGCCUCAAGAGUGCAUUGCUUUGCUCUCACCUUUGAAACUCUGUCACCAGGGUGAAUCGUAACAGAAACAGAGCCCUCGCACUCCUGCCACUGCCCAGCAGCAGAGUCCUGCAGUUGCCUGACGAGCCACAGUACAGAGGAAGGAAGAACUUCAAGGAAACAAAAUAUAAGAGGAAAUGUAUACCGAGGACAGGAAGACCAGAAGUGACAGAAAAGACAAUCCAUGAUAAAGACAGCACCUAGAGAAACUUCCCUAGAAAGCCUGAGAAAGGAGCAGGGCCUGCCCCCCCCCCCCCGCUGCCUCCAAAAAAUUGAAUAAAAAGCGUGGGGAAGAGCCAACAUAAUGGAUGAGACUGUAACUAAAAAGAAACAUGAUGACUCACAUAGAGUUGAAGGCAACUUUCCUAAAGCAAAAAUAGGAAUCAAAAUCACUGAGAAGAGGCCCCACUGGGAUGUACCGCCUACCCUGGAGGGCUGCCUGGAGGGGGCUGGAGGAGGCAGGACCAACCAGAUGCCCCCAGGAGAUCACAAAACUCUGUCACUAAGAAUAAUCAUACCCAGACAAGAUCCACCAAAAGAGCCUCAGAUAUGUGUGAGC
rnacentral:lncRNA from 1 species